rnacentral:rRNA from 1 species
ACGAACGCUGGCGGCGUGCUUCACCCAUGCCAGUCGAACGGAAAGGCCCCUUUGGGGGUACUCGAGUGGCGAACGGGUGAGUAACACGUGAGUAACCUGCCCUUGACUUCGGGAUAACUUCAGGAAACUGGGGCUAAUACCGGAUAGGAAUCCUUGCUGCAUGGUGGGGGUUGGAAAGCUUCGGCGGUUUUGGAUGGACUCGCGGCUUAUCAGCUUGUUGGUGGGGUAGUGGCUUACCAAGGCUUUGACGGGUAGCCGGCCUGAGAGGGCGACCGGCCACAUUGGGACUGAGAUACGGCCCAGACUCCUACGGGAGGCAGCAGUGGGGAAUAUUGCACAAUGGGCGGAAGCCUGAUGCAGCAACGCCGCGUGCGGGAUGACGGCCUUCGGGUUGUAAACCGCUUUCAGCAGGGGCGAAGCUUGUGGUGACGGUACCUGCAGAAGAAGCACCGGCUAACUACGUG